rnacentral:misc_RNA from 1 species
GAUGAAGAACGUAGCGAAAUGCGAUAAGUAAUGUGAAUUGCAGAAUUCAGUGAAUCAUCGAAUCUUUGAACGCACAUUGCGCCCGGUAGUAUUCUGCCGGGCAUGCCUGUUCGAGCGUCAUUUCAACCAUCAAGCCCCAGCGCUUGUGUUGGGGGCCUGCGGCUGCCGCAGCCCCCUAAAAGCAGUGGCGGGCUCGCUAUCACACCGAGUGCAGUAGUAUUCUUCUCACUCCUGUGGUGUAGCGGGUAACCAGCCGUAAACCCCCCCAUCUAUAAAGGUUGACCUCGGAUCAGGUAGGAAUACCCGCUGAACUUAAGCAUAUCAAUAAGCGGAGGA